rfam:Salmo salar isolate Sally breed double haploid chromosome ssa01, whole genome shotgun sequence.
UGCAUUCGCUACUGUAAGUCUCUCUGGAUAAGAGUGUCUACUAAAUUACGUAAA